UGGGGAAUAUUGGACAAUGGAGGAAACUCUGAUCCAGCAAUUCUGCGUGUGUGAAGAAGGUUUUAGGACUGUAAAACACUUUUAGUAGGGAAGAAAAAAAUGACGGUACCUACAGAAGAAGCAACGGCUAAAUACGUGCCAGCAGCCGCGGUAAUACGUAUGUUGCGAGCGUUAUCCGGAAUUAUUGGGCUUAAAGGGCAUCUAGGCGGUAAGACAAGUUGAAGGUGAAAACCUGUGGCUCAACCAUAGGCUUGCCUACAAAACUGUUGAACUAGAGUACUGGAAAGGUGGGUGGAACUACACGAGUAGAGGUGAAAUUCGUAGAUAUGUGUAGGAAUGCCGAUGAUGAAGAUAACUCACUGGACAGAAACUGACGCUGAAGUGCGAAAGCUAGGGGAGCAAACAGG
rnacentral:rRNA from 1 species